AGUACAUGGUCAGGAUGGCAUGUUUUGGCCAUAUAAACUCAUGAACAUGCUGGUGUAUGAUUGUUCAUGCCAAACAGCUCGUCACAAAAGAAGUGUUUCUGUUGUUGAUGUUAAAGGCACCUUUUGUACUGUUGAGGUACAGUUUUGCUCAUGCUCUCCAGAGUUUGUUCAACUUCUGCAAUUUGGCCUUUGGGGUGGAACACCUACAAAACCAAGAAUUGCAUUUGCAAUUGA